AGAGUUUGAUCAUGGCUCAGAUUGAACGCUGGCGGCAGGCCUAACACAUGCAAGUCGAGCGGUAGCACAGAGAGCUUGCUCUCGGGUGACGAGCGGCGGACGGGUGAGUAAUGUCUGGGAAACUGCCUGAUGGAGGGGGAUAACUACUGGAAACGGUAGCUAAUACCGCAUAACGUCGCAAGACCAAAGUGGGGGACCUUCGGGCCUCAUGCCAUCAGAUGUGCCCAGAUGGGAUUAGCUAGUAGGUGGGGUAACGGCUCACCUAGGCGACGAUCCCUAGCUGGUCUGAGAGGAUGACCAGCCACACUGGAACUGAGACACGGUCCAGACUCCUACGGGAGGCAGCAGUGGGGAAUAUUGCACAAUGGGCGCAAGCCUGAUGCAGCCAUGCCGCGUGUGUGAAGAAGGCCUUCGGGUUGUAAAGCACUUUCAGCGGGGAGGAAGGCGUUAAGGUUAAUAACCUUGGCGAUUGACGUUACCCGCAGAAGAAGCACCGGCUAACUCCGUGCCAGCAGCCGCGGUAAUACGGAGGGUGCAAGCGUUAAUCGGAAUUACUGGGCGUAAAGCGCACGCAGGCGGUCUGUCAAGUCGGAUGUGAAAUCCCCGGGCUCAACCUGGGAACUGCAUUCGAAACUGGCAGGCUAGAGUCUUGUAGAGGGGGGUAGAAUUCCAGGUGUAGCGGUGAAAUGCGUAGAGAUCUGGAGGAAUACCGGUGGCGAAGGCGGCCCCCUGGACAAAGACUGACGCUCAGGUGCGAAAGCGUGGGGAGCAAACAGGAUUAGAUACCCUGGUAGUCCACGCCGUAAACGAUGUCGAUUUGGAGGUUGUGCCCUUGAGGCGUGGCUUCCGGAGCUAACGCGUUAAAUCGACCGCCUGGGGAGUACGGCCGCAAGGUUAAAACUCAAAUGAAUUGACGGGGGCCCGCACAAGCGGUGGAGCAUGUGGUUUAAUUCGAUGCAACGCGAAGAACCUUACCUGGUCUUGACAUCCACAGAACUUUCCAGAGAUGGAUUGGUGCCUUCGGGAACUGUGAGACAGGUGCUGCAUGGCUGUCGUCAGCUCGUGUUGUGAAAUGUUGGGUUAAGUCCCGCAACGAGCGCAACCCUUAUCCUUUGUUGCCAGCGGUUAGGCCGGGAACUCAAAGGAGACUGCCAGUGAUAAACUGGAGGAAGGUGGGGAUGACGUCAAGUCAUCAUGGCCCUUACGACCAGGGCUACACACGUGCUACAAUGGCAUAUACAAAGAGAAGCGACCUCGCGAGAGCAAGCGGACCUCAUAAAGUAUGUCGUAGUCCGGAUUGGAGUCUGCAACUCGACUCCAUGAAGUCGGAAUCGCUAGUAAUCGUAGAUCAGAGUGCUACGGUGAAUACGUUCCCGGGCCUUGUACACACCGCCCGUCACACCAUGGGAGUGGGUUGCAAAAGAAGUAGGUAGCUUAACCUUCGGGAGGGCGCUUACCACUUUGUGAUUCAUGACUGGGGUGAAGUCGUAACAAGGUAACCGUAGGGGAACCUGCGGUUGGAUCACCU
rnacentral:rRNA from 1 species